UAGCCUUCAGGUUGUGUGGAACUUGCAAAACAUGUUAGUCUAAAUUGCCCGAAUCUUCAAUUUUGUGGAUUGAUGACAAUCGGGAUGCCUGAUUAUACAUCAACUCCGGAGAAUUUCAAGACAUUAACAAAUUGCCGAAGUGAAGUCUGCAAGGCUCUUGGAAUACCAGAAGAACAAUGUGAACUGUCAAUGAGAAUGUCUGGCGACUUUGAGCUAGCUAUUGAAAUGGGCAGUACCAAUGUCAGAGUUGGAUCAACCAUCUUUGGGGCAAUGGAAUAUCCAAAGAAGAAAUGAAACGCUGUAUUGUUAUUAAACAUAAUCAUCGGGUUGUUAUUUUGUUACACCGGGUUGAUGUGGUUUGAUCCGAGAGAAAGAAUACACUGACUGAUAGUAGAAUCCAUUUAACUUGUUUAUUCCUUCUAAAUAAUGCUAAUAAAAUUGUAAUUGUUUGAUCUGAAA